CUUUGUGCCUGGAUUUGUCUAUUCUUCCUUCAGCUGCUACACUGCAAUAUGCUAGCAAUAUUUUACCUUUUACUGCCUCAUUUAACCUAUGCAAUAAAGAUGCCUGUCAUGUCAUAAGGUAAGUAUUUUCCCUAGAAAUGGCUAUAGAAGUUUGUAUCAAAAUAGGCAUUUCUAUUGAUUUUUGAAUUGAUAUUAGCAGUUUUGUUUCUGCCUUAUUUUUAACAAUUGACUUUUAGACCUUCACAUCUCCUGGAAGAAAUACUGCCGUAAGCUCUGAUGACCCAAUGCAAUCUUGACCUGCACUUUUCCUUCUCUUGGCCCUCAAUUCUUCACUAUUCUAAUAUCCUUACGCUCCUUACAAUUAGUUCACACAAGAUCGGAAGAGAUACCGGUUAAUGAACAACUGCCACUCACUGUCAGCAGUGUGCUACAAAUGAAAGGCAUUUUCAGAAGCCAGAGGAAGGAGAUAAUAUUAUGGGGACAAGGAGCCAUCUACGGUCAGAGAAAACACUGGGAGGAAACCGCARUCUUCCCUGAUCAAGGCCCUUUUCAGAACUUGAGCACACCCAUCUCUGCAUGGCACUCACUUGCACUACAGGUCCAAGAUUAUAAAGUGUUUUUACAAGGAUUCUUCAUAUAUGCAGUGUGAAUACCCCUGGGACACGUGGAGAUCUGGAAUACUGUGGAGUAGACUGCGCAACCGUUCAGCGUGGUAAACUGAAAACUUCUCUUGCAUUUGGCAGCCCACAWCCCAUCCUUGCAUUUAGGUACUGGUCCUUAUUUCUCCCCUCUGAGCAGGUGUGAAACCUCCAAGGGAGAACAAGAACUGGAAACCAAGGCCAGGCAGAGCUCCACCAAGAUGGUACUGGCUGGUGGGAGCAGCUGCUGCACGAGGUGCGACUGCAGUCUGUGCAAGCAGCGCUACAGCUUCAUGCACCCAGAUCGCAUACACACACGAGACCUCUGAAAGACUUGGUGUCUGCAGUCCCGGCUGCCUCCGUACAACUGGAAGAGCGRUCUUGAACAAGAACGUAGACCUAAACGGUGGACCUAAAGAGGUGGACCUACCUCCUAGGGCUAGAAAAUUCACACUGACUAGUCUAGUCCGGGGGCUUUGAACCUACAAAGGAGUCACAGUUCAAAGCUUGAUUUGUGUCCAGAUGGACUUCUAAGAGGAUAAACUUGGUUUUGCAAUUUGGGUCCCUGUUCCCAAGAAUGCUAAAGUGUUGUCUUCUACCCAGACACAGCCCUUUAUUGUCAGGUUGGAUGUGACAAGUUGCGAAGUUAAGGCCCAAUAAGUAAUUAAGGCAGUUUGCCAAGCAAAAUGAAGAAAAAAAUACAUAUUCACUGCUUUUCAUAGAGCUUUGAUUUAACUGGUUAAGAAUGUUCCUCUGUUUUAUAUAGUGUUGAGCAAAUCAUUCAUAAUAAUUGAUAUAUUAAACUCAUUUAAACAUUUUUGCUCUUUGUGAACUGUACAUGGUAGAUAUAAAAGUAUAUCUUUCAAAAAAGGUAUUGGUGCUUGAAAGCAGAUUACCAGAUAUUGUGUCUGCAUCUUAUAGAUACAUAUAAGCAACUAAUACUGUAAACUGAGAAAGUCUAAUAUUACCUUUGCAUAUAGUACUUGAAAAGCAUUUGAAAAGUAACUUUAAAGAAAAUAUUUAUAGUUAAAAUUAGUGUGUUAGCAAUAUUUUGUGCAACUGAAGCUUCAAGUGCUUGAAGAAAGUCAUUGUGAAGGACUCAAGCUCAAAUAAAAAAUCAUUAUUUCUUAAUAGUCCA
rnacentral:lncRNA from 1 species